UACGUAGGGUGCAAGCGUUGUCCGGAUUUAUUGGGCGUAAAGAGCUCGUAGGCGGUCUGUCGCGUCGGAUGUGAAAACCCAGGGCUCAACCCUGGGCCUGCAUUCGAUACGGGCAGACUAGAGUACGGCAGGGGAGACUGGAAUUCCUGGUGUAGCGGUGAAAUGCGCAGAUAUCAGGAGGAACACCGGUGGCGAGGGCGGGUCUCUGGGCCGUAACUGACGCUGAGGAGCGAAAGCGUGGGGAGCGAACAGG
rnacentral:rRNA from 1 species